GUGGAUAUAGCUCAGUGGUAGAGUGCCUGCUUAGCAUGCACGAGGUCCUGGGUUCAAUCCCCAGUACCUUUA
rnacentral:tRNA from 1 species